rnacentral:rRNA from 1 species
AAAGAACGCUGGCGGCAGGCUUAACACAUGCAAGUCGAGCGCCCCGCAAGGGGAGCGGCAGACGGGUGAGUAACGCGUGGGAAUCUACCCAUCUCUACGGAAUAACGCAUGGAAACGUGUGCUAAUACCGUAUACGGCCUUCGGGAGAAAGAUUUAUAGGAGAUGGAUGAGCCUGCGUUGGAUUAGCAAGUUGGUGGGGUAAAGGCCUACCAAGGCGACGAUCCAUAGCUGGUCUGAGAGGAUGAUCAGCCACACUGGGACUGAGACACGGCCCAGACUCCUACGGGAGGCAGCAGUGGGGGAUAUUGGACAAUGGGCGCAAGCCUGAUCCAGCCAUGCCGCGUGAGUGAUGAAGGCCCUAGGGUUGUAAAGCUCUUUCACCGGUGAAGAUAAUGAUGGUAACCGGAGAAGAAGCCCCGGCUAACUUCGUGCCAGCCGCCGCGGUAAAAC